rnacentral:rRNA from 1 species
UACGUAGGGUGCAAGCGUUGUCCGGAAUUAUUGGGCGAAAGAGCGUGUAGGCGGCCCGAUUAGUCCGCUGUGAAAGUCCAGGGCUCAACCCUGGAAUGCCGGUGGAUACUGUCGGGCUAGAGUCCGGAAGGGGCGAGUGGAAUUCCUGGUGUAGCGGUGAAAUGCGCAGAUAUCAGGAGGAACACCAAUGGCGAAGGCAGCUCGCUGGGACGUGACUGACGCUGAGACGCGAAAGCGUGGGGAGCAAACAGG